AAGAUGUGCAGGGAGUGCUUGAGCCAAUCAGGCUGAGAUGAUAUCCCCGAACCUGAACUGGAUAAUGCCAGCGCAGGGAAAGCGCGUCGGUACGACG
rnacentral:ncRNA from 2 species